UACGAAGGGGGCUAGCGUUGUUCGGAUUUACUGGGCGUAAAGCGCACGUAGGCGGAUUGUUAAGUGAGAGGUGAAUCCCAGAGCUCAACUCUGGAACUGCCUUUCAUACUGGCAAUCUAGAGUCCGGAAGAGGUAAGUGGAACUCCUAGUGUAGAGGUGGAAUUCGUAGAUAUUAGGAAGAACACCAGUGGCGAAGGCGGCUUACUGGUCCGGUACUGACGCUGAGGUGCGAAAGCGUGGGGAGCAAACAGG
rnacentral:rRNA from 1 species